rnacentral:tRNA from 1 species
GCUUAUAUAGUUUAGAAAGAAUAAUAAUUUUGUAAAUUAUAGGUAGAAAUAUCUUAUAAGCU